GACUGGAUUCUCCAGUAGGAAAUGGACUUGGCCUCAAGGUGAGAGCCAGAAGUUGAAGUGGACACAGUGCUAAAAAGUGGUAAUGCUCAGCUGGAUGGAGGUGGGCCUCUCCCAGAUGGCAACUUGUUUAUCAAAGCAUGAAAACCAAGAAGGUGAUAAAGAAAGUCUGCUAGCAAGACAUAAGUCACAAUCUUUUGUAAUCUAUUUAUGAAAGUGACAUCCCAUCAUCUUGACCACAAUCUAUUGAUUAGAAACAAGUACAGCUCACCCUCAACAAGAGGAGAUAAUAUCCAGGUGUGAAUUGCACAAGACUAAUCCAGUGGAAAAACUAUAUUCGACCCAAGGAUCUGUAUCCACACAGUUUGACAAUAAUUUACUUCUUUCUGGAAGCGAUGAGCACAGUGUAAUUCCUGAGAAAUUUUAAUAAUGAUAUUUUAAUUAUAAUUAAGUGAAACCUAGCAAAGUUGGCUGUAUCUGGAGGAACUCCACUGUGGGAAACAGAUUCUUAAGAUGGCUGAAGAUGGCUGUUUCGCUGCAUCAAUGUGUGACUUUCAAUAGAUGAUCGAAGAUGGCUGUUUGGCACUGUGUCUGAAUUAAGCCAGAAGGAAGGAGGAAGAAGAUGAAGAAAAGGCAUGCCUCUACCCCUUAGGACCACGUCUCUGAAGCUGUAUACAACAUUUCUGCUCUCAUAUAAUUGGGCAGAACUUAGUCAUAGAGCUACAUGUAGUUGCAAGGGAAGCUAUAUGCACUAAUGUGCUUAGUUAAACAUUGGGAUUCUCUUACUAAGGUACAUAAGGAGAACAUAUAUUUGGAGAGGCAACUAUCCAUCUCUGCCACAAGAUCUGAAACAAUUAUUGUGAGACUAUAAACAUAGAAAAAAGCUCCAGAGAUCAGGGGGAAGUCAGAAAUUAUUUGGGAUUCCAGUGAAUGGAAUGUUGACCAUAAAUGAGAAAUGAUGCUUGGGAUAAUUCCUAGCGAGCAUUGGCUUUUAGAGUUGGGAUUGAAGUCAACCAGCUAUAAAGAGCAAGACUGGGUGGGGUACUUUGAAAUGUCAUAUCAUUGUGUAUGGCUUUUGUGGUAGUUACUGCUUCUUUUUAGAAUAAUUCUCAUAACUAGGUAGAAAGCUCACCUUUGAAACUUCUGCAUGCCUAAUAAAAUGCUUCACUCACACCCAGUUGUUUUACUCAAGCGAGUAGUUUUAUGGUAACUGCAUUUGGGGUAACAGUCUUACAGAAGAGUUAACACAAUGGGCAGAUUCCAGGUGUGCUGUCAUUUGGAGGAGGCAAAUCCAUACAGACAAGAAGUAGAUUAGUGGUUGCCUAGAGCUGGAGGAGGGUAGGGAUAAGGAAUGGAUUACUACUGGGACUGGGUUUCUUUUUGGGGUGAUGAAAAUUUUCUAAAAUUGAUUGUGGUGAUGGUUGCCUAACUCUGUGAAUAGCAAUGAAUUGUGCUAUUGUACACUUUAGGUAAAUGGUAUGGUAUAUGAGUUAUAUCCCCAAUAAAGCUGUUAAAAAAGAAUGAGAAAGACCGAGUGACUUGCCAAG
rnacentral:lncRNA from 10 species